UCAAACUCCUGACCUUGUGAUCCGCCCGCCUCAGCCUCCCAAAGUGCUGGGAUUACAGUCGUGAGCCACCAUGCCCAGCCACAAUAACGCAUUUUUUAAUGAAGCUAUGUACAUUGUGGUUUUCAGACAUAAUGCUGUUGUGCACUUCAUAGACUACAGUAUAAUGUAAACAACUUCUAUAUGUAGUGGGCGACCAAAAAUUUAUAUGACUCACUUUAUUGCAAUAUUCACUUAAUUGUGGUGGUUUGGAACUGAACCUGCAACAUUUCCCAGGUAUGCCUGUACUUCAGGCGUUUCUUUUGCCCCCACCCGGUAACUUUUUUAUUGUAAUGCUCCUGUCUCAGAUGGGCUGUGCUGAAGUGUCCAGAAAGGAUCCCAUUCCACUCCUGUGCCUGUGUGGAAGGGGCCCAGUGCCCUCCUGCAAAUGGUGUGGUGGGUGUAAGGAUGAUUAUCAAGACACCUCCCACCCCCAAGAAGAAGGUGAAGGGAAUUAAAUUUGGGUCCUGUUGAAUCUCCUCACUAGGAGAUCUCCCUCUGAUGCCAGCCCUGAAGAUCCGGUCUUCACUUUUACAAAAAAAGACGUAUGUUCUUGUAAGGGUCUCAAGAGUAUAAUGAAGGAGGAGCAACGUGACUUGGUCUGUUUUCAACAGUGACAGGAAUGCUGGAGAGCGCUGUCUUUUUCUUUCUCCCUGGACUCCAGAAAUCACAAACGGUGCUGAUAUCAUUUGCCACAGACCUAGAAUUCAGUGCACAUGGAACAGAAGAUUGAUAACAAGCAUGUACCUGUGAAAAUUGCCUGGGUGCAGCCCUUACGACAAUCUUUCAUGUUUUUGUAGAAGAAAGGAAUUUUGCAUCUUACUUUAAAGGUUACAUGGAGAAAAGCUUUUAGAUGUAUACUCUUUACCAGCGCUGUCCACUAGAGGUAUAAUGUGAACCAGUGCAUUGUUUUAAUUUUCAUUACAAACAUUACUAAAUCAAAAAAUUUUUAUUUUAGUGAUAUUCAGUUUAAUAUAUCAAAGUAUUAUCAUUUCAACAUGUAAUUAUAUAAAAAUAUAUGAAUGAGAAAUGUUACUUUGUCUCCAUAUUGUCUUCAAAAUCCAGUUUGUAUAACACAUACUCAAUGCACACUUCCACUUGGAGCGGCCACAUUUCAAGGGCUAAAGAGCUGGUAGUACUGGUGAGUGAUUUACUGGACAGUGCAGAACCAGAGUGCAUAGGGAAAUACUCAGCUCCUGGGUUCUGGGUGGUUACACAACAAGAUCCAGUGCUGGGUGGUCCUCCCUGAAAUGGCAUCCAGGUGCUGCUGGGGACACCCAAAGGAAGAGGCGGAGGACUGGUGGGACCUCAAGAGCACCUCCAGGUCAGGGAGAUAACACUAGAACCAGCCUGAGGUCUCCGGCCCCAAAUGUGCCCCCAACCACAAGUCACACCACCUUCUCCAAGGGGAAGCUCAGGGGUCCCUGGAAGCAGUGAGAUGCUCUCAGCAAAUGGAAGUAGGUGAUAAUGCAGUCCUUCCUCCUCUUUUUCUUUAUUACCAUUCUCGUCAGUGUGGGUGCACAGAAAUGUAAGAUGCGGACAGAGGGCAGAAAUCCUGGCUUCUCAUCGAACUGCAUUUCCGAAAGUCCGCUGACCACCGGGGUGUUACGCCAAGUUUCUCCCCUCAAGGAUGGCAGGGGUUCAGGCUGCCUUUAUGGGCUGUAACACUCACUUCCGGUAAGGUCUGCAGCUUCACUCCUGAAGCCCGCCAGACCACGGGGAAGAAGGAACAACUCCAGAGGCGCUGCCUUUAAGAGCUGUAACACUGACCACGAAGGUCUGCAGCUUCACUCCUGACAGUGAGACCACGAAUCCACCAGAGGGAAGAAGUUCCAGACACAUCUGAACAUCUGAAGGAACAAACUGUGGACACCCCAUCUUUAAGAACUGUAACACUCACUGUGAGGGUCCGUGACUUCAUUGUUGAAGUCAGUGAGACCAAGAACCCACCAAUUCCGGACACGAUACCAAACCCAUGCCUUUAUUUUUUAUCUAACUAUGAAAAUAAUUCGUGCUUAUAGCAGAGACAGGUGCAGAAAGAGGAAAUGCACACGGCCUGCCACCCUGGUGAACAGCCCGGGACCCCAUACGGGAGUCUGUUUUUCUCCAACAUGGUAUUUCAACGGUCCCCUCUUCCCUGCUAAGGAUUACAUUGUAUACCAGUCCGAUUAAACUGCUCCAGUUUAUUUAACCCCCUCUUUCCAUUUUGUUUUUUACUUUUAAAUAAAAUACACCAUUGAAAAGGAUGGGGGUGUCCUGCGCAUGACUGCGGAGGCAAUGCUGCUCCUCGCCAGGGGCUCACCCGCCGCCUCCUCUGGGCCCACCAUUCCCAGCGCCCUGGCAGCGAGCUGGGGCCGCGCUGGGCACUGGAACAGGAUGCGGGAGACCUGAGUCCCUCCAGGCCUGGCCUUGCGGUGCUGCCAGGCCCCAAGGGCUCUCCCUUCCCUUUCUGGAGCCUGGGUACGGAGGAUACCCCGGAAGAUUCCAGGCUGUGCAAGAUGACGGAGCCUGGGUGGGUCCCUGGCUGGCUGCGUCAAGCUGAGAUCUCCUGCCAACUUCCAGGACCGGGGCUCGACCGAAAAAUCAACCUUUAUUGUGGUGCCCCACAGUUUGUUGGCAUAAUUGUGAAUGAUGCAGACCAAAUACACUAACAUGAACACACUGUACGCCCAUCCCACUUCAGAAAUAGAAAUGAGGUCCCUAUGAAUCUUUCUCAUUGCAGAAAACACAAAAACACAUUUUGUGUUUAUAAUUUCUUUGCUUUUAUAAUUUUACCACGUGUUUUGUUUCAUUUUGAAUUUUGUGAUAUCGAUACAUUUCUCCAAUUUGUUUUCUUGCUUGCUUUGUUGCUAAUUUUUCUCUAUUAUAAAUAAUACUUUGCUGAGCGUACUCGUCACUAUGUUUUAUGUGCAUCUACAUUUAUUUCCUCAGAAUAAAAUAUUGGAUUUAAGUUGCUGGGUCCAAGUAUAUGUACAUAUUUUAGGGCUUUUGACACAUAUUACCUCCAGAAGAACUAUUAUGAAUCCUGGAGCCUUUGCCAACACUGUGUGUUAUUGGGAAUUAUAUGUAUAUAUGUAAUGAUUAUAAUGAUUUUGAGUGAAUGAUAAUGAAUAAUGGUUUUUGAAUGAAUGACAAUGAUUUGCCGUAAUUACCAUGCAUUGUAAUUAUAAUGAUUUAGUUCAUAUAUAAUUGCCAAUUUGAAGGGAGAAAAAGCAGCCCCAUUUUCUGUUCUUUUACUACAUGAGUUCUUCACCACUUACACGAACCACCUUCUUGAAAGGGUCCAUGGUUGGCAAAACCAGGGCUGGCAGGAUUAAGCUCUCACAGAGAAGAGAGGGUUAGGGAGAAAAUAUGAAACACAGCAUCAAAUCUGUAUUUACAAAAUGUAUAUGAAAUAUUGCACUAGAGAUACAUAUGUAUAUGUACACAUAUAUUUAUAGCAUACAUACUGCAUUAAAUGCAUAUGUAUAAGAAACAUGGCAUUAAACAUAUAUUGAAUGGAGAAAAUAGUAGUUCUCUUAGGUAUUCAUUCCCAACACACCAUUCAGACAGCCCUCCUCUUGAAUUGCCUUCAGUUCAUUAUUUAGGUGGCAGCAUCACUCUGGAGUCAGUCUCUUCCCUGUCCUUUGAGGAUAUACAGACCUCACCUAUUCUUUAAGUGUUUGAACCAGCCCCAAACCCAAACAACACCAGAGUCUUCCUUACAGUUCUUCAGUGAGCAAAUCUUACCAUGAACUUGGGAGUCAAACCAGCUUUGCCCCUCACUAGCUGGGUAAACACAGGGAGGUAUUCUGCCACAGUGAGCAGUUCCCCAAUCCAAAUCAGGAUAAAACAAUUCCACUGUUGCUUGGUUUACGUAACUGCUGUUCCUAAUCUGAUGCCUUGCCUGAUUCUUCUAUAGUACCUGGAAAAGCCAUCUAUCAUUUUCAUUUGUCCAGUCUCCCUUGCAGCAUGGGCAUCAUGUGACACAGUUUUAGCUGAUGAAUUGCACACAGAACUCUACACUGGGGGCCCUGGGAAAGAUUUCACUUUUCUCCUAAAUGGGACUAGAGUUGCUGGCAUUGCCACAAACCUGUUCACCCUGCUUUGAUCACUGAUGUGAUAUCUGGAGCUGCACUCACUAUCCUGUGACCAAGAGGGAAAGGCCAACAUAAUCACAGAGACAUCAGUUUUUAUUGUUGAACUUCUGAAGCAGUGAGCCAAUUCUAGGUUUAUUAUCUGAAAGAAUAAAUUCCUGUUCAUCAGACGUUCUGUUACUAACCUCCUUAUGAGAUGGCUGUGUGAGAAUCUUGUGAAGUAAUGUUUGUAAUGGCUAGAUACAGUGCCUAGCAUUGUUAAAUACUCAUAAUUUUAUGAUUGUUAGUAGUACCAACUGAUGUCAGUUGCCACAAGUUCCUUCAACUCUGAUGUAUGAGUCUGACCAGGGAUAAGAAGGUGUUUGUUGAAGAUCAUCCUUGGCUGCCAAUUAGCUAUCAGUGACCUUGGCCAAGUCUUGAAUGUCUAUGGACAUGGUUUCCUCUGCUGUUUAUAAAAUAAUAC